AGGGUUUUUCCACGUCCAAAUAAUAUUUAAUGAUGAAUUUUUUAGGUGCACCUUUAAUUCUGUUGCAACCUUAUGCAGGCUUUUUUCUUAUAAAGAUUGAUCAUAUUAAAAAAUAAAAAAAGAUGUACCAUUUGACGAUGUUUAGAGCCUCAGCCCUAUACAAACACAUGAAAAUUCACGCGCCCGUUCUUGGAGUACCGCGAUGCUGCAGAAGAAAAAACCUCUUUCGGGAAUAAAAAAACGAAAUGAAAACACAAAUUAGAACUUCUUAGAGAGGAAACACUCCAUUUUUCCCCAUUCAUCUCAUCAAUUUCCUUUGAUUUGGGAAAAAAGCCCCAGAGAUACGCAGAGUUUCUUCUAUUUGCCCUAAUUCUUCUUCCAGUAUCAUUUUGUUCCCCUUUGCACUUGAAGUUGCAGGCGUCGCCUGUUGCUCCUGGUAAGCACAAUUUCUCUAUCUAC
rnacentral:lncRNA from 1 species